rnacentral:lncRNA from 1 species
ACAGCAGCAGCAGCUGUGACAGCUAUAAGGCCCAUGAUCACAGCUAUUAAAUCUACAGGUGUAUCCAGCAGCUCCGGAGAGACAGCGGCUAGCGAGAACGGACCAUGAUGAUGAUGGCGGUUUUGUCAAAAAGAAAAGGGGGAUAUGUAGGGAAAAGAGAGAGAGAUCAGACUGUUACUGUGUCUAUGUAGAAAGGGAAGACAUAAGAGACUCCAUUUUGAAAAAGACCUGUACUUUGAACAAUUGCUUUGCUCAGAUGUUGUUAAUUUGUAGUUUUGCCCCAGCCACUUUGACCCAACCUGGAGCUCAUAAAAACAUGUGUUGUAUGAAGUCAAGGUUUAAGGGAUCUAGGGCUGUGCAGGAUGUGCCUUGUUAACAAAAUGUUUACAAGCAGUAUACUUGGCAAAAGUCAUUGCCAUUCUCUAGUGUCAACAAACCACAGGCAUAAUGCACUGCAGAAACCCACAGGGAACUCUGCCCUUGAAAGCUGGGUAUCGUCCAAGGUUUCUCCCCAUGUGAUAGUCGGAAAUAUGGCCUCAUGAGAUGAGAAAGACCUGACUGUCCCCCAGCCCGACACCCGUAAAGGGUCUGUGCUGAGGUGGAUUGGUAAAAGAGGAAAGCCUCUUGCAGUUGAGAUAGAGGAAGGCCACUGUCUCCUGCCUGCCCCUGGGAACUGAACGUCUUGGUAUAAAACCCGAUUGUACAUUUGUUCAAUUCUGAGAUAGGAGAAAAACCGCCCUAUGGUGGGAGGUGAGACAUGUUGGCAGCAAUGCUGCCUUGUUAUUCUUUACUCCACUGAGAUGUUUGGGUGGAGAGAAACAUAAAUCUGGCCUAUGUGCACAUCCAGGCAUAGUACUUUCCCUUGAACUUAAUUAUGACAUAGAUUCCUUUGCUCACAUGCUUUUUGCUGACCUUCUCCUUAUUAUCACCCUGCUCUCCUACUACAUUCCUUUCUGCUGAAAUCAUGAAAAUAAUAAUCAAUAAAAACUGAGGGAACUCAGAGACCGGUGCCGGUGCAGGUCCUUGGUGUGCCGAGUGCCGCUCUCCUGGGCCCACUGUUGUUUCUCUAUACUUUGUCACUGUGUCUUAUUUCUUUUCUCAGUCUCCCAUCCCACCUGACUAGAAAUACCCACAGGUGUGGAGGGGCAGGCCACCC